rnacentral:rRNA from 1 species
UACGUAGGGUGCAAGCGUUAAUCGGAAUUACUGGGCGUAAAGCGUGCGCAGGCGGUUUGGCAAGACAGAUGUGAAAUCCCCGGGCUUAACCUGGGAAUGGCAUUUGUGACUGCCCGGCUAGAGUGUGUCAGAGGGGGGUAGAAUUCCACGUGUAGCAGUGAAAUGCGUAGAGAUGUGGAGGAAUACCGAUGGCGAAGGCAGCCCCCUGGGAUAACACUGACGCUCAUGCACGAAAGCGUGGGGAGCAAACAGG